rnacentral:snoRNA from 1 species
AACCCAUGGUGAGGGCACCUUCUUAGUAGGUCAUUGUAUCUCUCCCAUGCAUCAUACAAGGUUUCUAAAUCCAUCUACACAAAAGAAGAGAUAUCAUUCCUUAGUUU